rnacentral:tRNA from 1 species
GGACGCAUGGCCCAGUGGUAAGGCGCUCGCCUUCGAUGCAGGAUGAGUCUCCACUUGGGAGCGAGAGAUCGGCGGUUCGACCCCGUCUGCGUUCA